rnacentral:rRNA from 1 species
CCCUUAGAUGUUCUGGGCCGCACGCGUGCUACACUGAGUGGAUCAGCGGGUCAGGUUGCGCGAAAGUGUUUCCUAAUCUUUAAAUCCGCUCGUGAUGGGGAUUGACGGUUGCAAUUUUCCGUCAUGAACGAGGAAUACCUUGUAAGCGCGGGUCAUCAUCCCGCGCUGAAUACGUCCCUGCCCUUUGUACACACCGCCCGUCGCUACUACCGAUUGAGUGGUCCGGUGAGGCUUUGGGAUCUGAGCGGAAAGAGCGUUUCGCUGUUUCUGCCCGGAAAACUCAGUCGAACCUUAUCAUUUAGAGGAAGGAGAAGUCGUAACA